rnacentral:rRNA from 1 species
ACGCUUGAAGUCAGUCGCGUUCUCUGGGAUUCAGCCUUGCUUUUGCUUGGUGCAUUUCCUAGUCUACGGGCCAGCAUGGAUUUCGACCGUCGGAAAAGGGCUGGGGGAAUGUGGCACCUUCGGGUGUGUUAUAGCCCCUUGUCGCAUGCGUCGGUUGGGAUCGAGGACCUCAGUGCACGCUUCGGUUGUGCUUUGAUGCUGGCGUAAUGGCUUUAAACGACCCGUCUUGAAACACGGACCAAGGAGUC